rnacentral:tRNA from 1 species
GAGGUUAUAAUUCAAUUGGUUAGAAUGUCACCUUGUCACGGUGAAUGUUACGAGUUCAAUCCUCGUUAAUCUCG